rnacentral:rRNA from 1 species
GACGAACGCUGGCGGCGUGCUUAACACAUGCAAGUCGAGCGGAAGGGCCCUUUCGGGGGUACUCGAGCGGCGAACGGGUGAGUAACACGUGAGUAAUCUGCCCUUCACUUGGGGAUAACCUCCGGAAACGGUGGCUAAUACCCGAUACGACCAUUCCUCGCAUGAGGUGGUGGUGGAAAGUUUUUCGGUGGGGGAUGUGCUCGCGGCCUAUCAGCUUGUUGGUGGGGUAAUGGCCUACCAAGGCUUCGACGGGUAGCCGGCCUGAGAGGGUGACCGGCCACACUGGGACUGAGACACGGCCCAGACUCCUACGGGAGGCAGCAGUGGGGAAUAUUGGACAAUGGGCGGAAGCCUGAUCCAGCAACGCCGCGUGAGGGAUGACGGCCUUCGGGUUGUAAACCUCUUUCACCUGUGACGAAGCGAAAGUGACGGUAGCAGGAGAAGAAGCACCGGCCAACUACGUG